UCCCGUUCCUGCUCCAGUGGCAGGAUGUGAUUCACCAGCAAGGAGUUAGGAAUGUUUUCAAAAGACUGUGUCUGGAGAGCAGCACGUGGGGACAAUUGAAUUGGGGUGGGGACAAAGAACAAAGCUUUGCAGUCCUGUAUUGCACAUACAAUUUGGGGAACUGGACCCCCGGUGACAGGAGAGAAGACGACGACUUUGGCAAGAAGAAAGGUGGCAUGGUCUUUGGCAUCCAGUGCAUCAAGAAGUGGUUGGCUACUGAUUGGCCAAUGCCGUUAAGUAUAUCCCAGGCAUCCAGCCACGUAUUUGAGAAAAACUUGGAGUUGAUGCAGAUGCUAUUGGCCAUCAGCAACAACACUCCACCCUUGAACUGCAGCCUCAUCAGGAAGAAAAAUCUCUCUCAAGCUACCCAUCCCCACACCACAUGUGUGCUCAUGGACCAUCUGAGAAUUCAAAGCUUUCCACACAUUUAGGUCACAGAAAUAUCCACAUGGUGACCUGGUUUUCUUCACAAUCGUUUAGGUAGAAUCAAGUUACCAUAUUUAGAUGCAAGAAAUCAUUUAUCAUAAUGUUCUCCUGCUCCAAGCAGUUUAACCAGUUCGCAUCCAAAUGUGCCACGUUUGAAUCUGAAGACUUGCUAUUUCCAAAGAUUGCAUAAAUUGUAGAAUUGCAGAGCUGGAGGCUGCCUCGCAUUAGCAUCUAAUUAAAUUUCUUCCAUUUCCAGAUGAGGAAACUCGGCCUGAGGAGCUUGUCUUAAUCCAAGGUAACAAGUAACUAGAGACAGAAUUGAAAUUUGACCACAGUCAGUUUUCUCUUUUAAAAAAAUAAAACGACUGGUCACAGAAAAGUCAAGCAAAAUAUAUUUAUUUUUAUUUUCAUCACUGUCUCUACAUUCUAUUUAGUUUCCAAAGUUAACAGAAAUACAAUAUGCUCUAUGUUGCUGACACUUGACAAUGUUUUCUGUAUUUGUUUUAUAUAGUGAUGUGUUCAUGCAUGCCCUUCCUAUACACUUCAUAACAUUAAAUGGCAUAUUUGCAUGUGA